rnacentral:tRNA from 2 species
GCGCUCUUAGCUCAGUUGGUUAGAGCGUUACCUUGACAUGGUAAAGGUCACAGGUUCGAGUCCCGUAGGGCGCA